rnacentral:misc_RNA from 1 species
AAAGUAUAUCAGGGAUCUUGCAACAUUAGUCGUAGCAUAUGGGAUUAGUAUCAACCUUGUUGAGGUUACAUGGAAAUCGAAGCUCAAAGCUCAGUUCCCAAGUCCGAAUGAGUACUCUUCCUUCAUGGGUGACUUCUCUACUGCUACUGGGAUAGCUACUUUUACGAUGAUGCUGUUAAGUCAGUGGAUCUUUGACAAAUAUGGUUGGGGAACAGCGGCUAAGAUAACACCAACAGUCUUGCUUCUUACUGGAGUUGGAUUCUUCUCCCUGAUUUUGUUUGGUGACCCCCUUGCCCCGACCCUUGCUAAGUUUGGGCUCACUCCUCUUCUAGCAGCUGUCUAU